CUGUGAGAGCUCAGCGCCAAAGCUGGAGGGUGCCGGGGUGGCACCUUGUGUCCCCGUGAGCCCAUCCUGCAAUUCAUCCUCGCCUCCCUGGAACCUCCUGGAAGAGACAAGGAGCAGUCGGCUGAAGAGGUCUCUUCUUUUAAAUGUUUGCUCACUGUGAAGAGAUUUUGCAUGCAAUUGGAGGGUUCAACCUCUCCACCUCUUCCAAGUGUGCUCUGUCUGUGUAAUAAUUUAGGUGUCCUGUUUCACCUCAGAAGCUGAACAGAAGCUGAUUUUUUGGUAGGCAGUCUCUCCUUGGCUCUAAGCUGUAUCUCCUGAGGUUUAAAGAAGAAGAGCAGAAGUUCAGCUUGUGACAGAAUUGGAAACAAUGUGAUACCAUGAUGGAAAUCCAGCUCUCUCCUCCUGGUGCCAAAUGAUGGUUUGCUACAGACCCGUGGGAGAAGAGAUACCCUCAGAGCUUUCCCAGGAAGUUAAGCUGGCGCAGACACAGAAUAAAAGAGGGAUGAGAGAGCCUA